rnacentral:misc_RNA from 1 species
GAUGAAGAACGCAGCGAAAUGCGAUAAGUAAUGUGAAUUGCAGAAUCCAGUGAAUCAUCGAAUCUUUGAACGCACAUUGCGCCCGCCAGCAUUCUGGCGGGCAUGCCUGUUCGAGCGUCAUUUCAACCCUCGACCUCCCUUUGGGGAAGUCGGCGUUGGGGACCGGCAGCACACCGCCGGCCCUGAAAUGGAGUGGCGGCCCGUCCGCGGCGACCUCUGCGUAGUAAACCAACUCGCACCGGAACCCCGACGUGGCCACGCCGUAAAACACCCAACUUCUGAACGUUGACCUCGGAUCAGGUAGGAAUACCCGCUGAACUUAAGCAUAUCAAUAAGCGGAGGA